ensembl:lncRNA
GCCAGGUGACAGAGCUGUUGCAGAUGCUGAUUACUGUGAGCCAGAGCCAUAGUGUUGUUGUGCACUGAACAGAACGGAAUUGGCCAGGUGAACCUUUUUUGGGGUAUGAAAAAGGGUGGCGAGCCAAUGAACGGCUAGGAGCAGGACUCAUUCUGCAAUUGAAGCUUCCACUGGUUGGGUAGGAAGCUAUCAAAGACGACGCUCUGUCCCCAUUUUCCAAAUACACUGAUUUCCGCAAUCAUACACACCAUUCCCCUCAUUUAUGGACAAUAGCGCUUGGACAUCUCUCAUGGACAUUCAGAUAGAACUCAUGGACUUCAGUUUGGAUCAGUGGAUUUGAUGUUAAUAUGUGUUAUUUAUGGGGAACUGUUGUUUUGUUUUUUUUGUUUGUUUUUUUGAGAAUCUGUAUUGCUUGGUAUAAGCCAGAAGAAUUUGCUUAGUUGUCUUUGUGCACCCCCACUGGGUUUUUGAUUAAUUGAAUAGCUGCAGCAGGAGUGAUUAUUUAAGUUUUCCUUUUCUUUUCUUAUUUUUCUUUGGGGUUUGGUUAAAUACAUGGUACCUGCAAAAGCAUUUUUGUGUUGUGUGUAUUUAUUAAUUACUGCCCAUCAGCUCCAGUAGCAUUCCUAAAUGUUCUGAUUAAUAAUAACCAUAAUAUUUCACUCAAUACCUAGCCUGUAUUAAUUCAUUAGCGCUUGAUCAGUGUUACAUAAAGUUUUGGUAUGUUUGUCUGUAAAGUGGGCUACAGUACUAGUAGGUGAAACAGAAGACUUAGUUUGUGUUGCCUGAACUCCACACACUGACCUGUUACUUUUGCUUUUGGUAUAUGCUUGAUAGUCCUUAAGAUGAGACAACUGUUUGACUUUUACAUGUUCUUGUCACAAAACCCUCUUUCAGUGAUGUUACUUUCAUUUUGCAUUGACGGGACUUGCAGCAUGCUUUCUCACAAUAGCAGUGUCUUGUUUGCAUGGUGGUACAUUUACAUUUUCAUGCUCAGUUUUAUACUGGUACUUAACACAACUGAUUUGUCUGUGCCAGUCGAUUGGGGAACACACAUUUAAAGUUAUUUAAGU